AUUGAACGCUGGCGGCAUGCCUUACACAUGCAAGUCGAACGGUAACAGGUCUUCGGAUGCUGACGAGUGGCGUACGGGUGAGUAAUACAUCGGAACGUGCCCGAUCGUGGGGGAUAACGGAGCGAAAGCUUUGCUAAUACCGCAUACGAUCUACGGAUGAAAUCCGGGGCCUGCAAGGCCUUGCGCGGACGGAGCGGCCGAUGGCCGAUUAGGUAGUUGGUGGGCUAAAAGCUUACCAAGCCGACGAUCUGUAGCUGGUCUGAGAGGACGACCAGCCACACUGGGACUGAGACACGGCCCAGACUCCUACGGGAGGCAGCAGUGGGGAAUUUUGGACAAUGGGCGAAAGCCUGAUCCAGCCAGGCCGCGUGCAGGAUGAAGGCCUUCGGGUUGUAAACUGCUUUUGUACGGAACGAAAAGACUCUUUCUAAUAAAGAGGGUCCAUGACGGUACCGUAAGAAUAAGCACCGGCUAACUACGUG
rnacentral:rRNA from 1 species